GCGAGAGUGACGGAACCGGUAGACGUACGCGACUCAAAAUCGCGCGGCCGCGAGGCCAUGGGGGUUCGAGUCCCCCCUCUCGCACCA
rnacentral:tRNA from 1 species